rnacentral:rRNA from 1 species
GAUGAACGCUGGCGGCGUGCCUAAUACAUGCAAGUCGAGCGAACAGACGAGGAGCUUGCUCCUCUGAUGUUAGCGGCGGACGGGUGAGUAACACGUGGAUUACCUACCUAUAAGACUGGGAUAACUUCGGGAAACCGGAGCUAAUACCAGAUAACAUGUUGAACCGCAUGGUUCAACAGUGAAAGACGGUCUUGCUGUCACUUAUAGAUGGAUCCGCGCCGCAUUAGCUAGUUGGUAAGGUAACGGCUUACCAAGGCAACGAUGCGUAGCCGAGCUGAGAGGGUGAUCGGCCACACUGGAACUGAGACACGGUCCAGACUCCUACGGGAGGCAGCAGUAGGGAAUCUUCCGCAAUGGGCGAGAGCCUGACGGAGCAACGCCGCGUGAGUGAAGAAGGUCUUCGGAGCGUAAAACUCUGUUAUUAGGGAAGAACAAAUGUGUAAGUAACUAUGCACGUCUUGACGGUACCUAAUCAGAAAGCCACGGCUAACUACGUG